rnacentral:lncRNA from 1 species
AGUUCACAGUAUUCACUGCGAAAUGGAUCAGGCUUCUACUGUGGUGUAAGACCUAAAGCUUGAUAUUAGUGUUGUCUUGUCAGGAGAGCCUAUCUGCAAGUUCUCCUCCCUACUCUUAUUUAUCUCCUAUAGAUAAAGACCCCUAGCCAAAAACCCUCCUUAUCAAACAGAACAGGCACAGUUCCUACUUAUCCCCAAGUAGCAGGCUUCAGUUUCCUGCCAGUCUGUAGAAUUAUUCAAAUAAGCCAAUCACAUUCUCCUGUAGGAACCAGGUGGUACCUUACCCUCUUGAUACUACAAAACCUGCCUCCCACUGCCCCUGGUGGGGCAUUCUGUUUCGGAGUGCAAUUUCCAUGUGGCCCAUGUAGCGUGCAGUGCCCUCCUCUCCUGAGCUAGUAAUCUCCAUGAGGGGAAGACUUGUUCAUCCCUGUAGCACUACUGCCUAAAGCAGUACCUGACAAAAUGGAAACUACCCAGGGCAGAUGUCUUCAAAAAAAGAGCAGGAAGAAGGCAAAUGGCAGAUGAAAUGAGAUGUCAAUAUGGAACUACUCGAGCGUCAGUUGCAAGGGAAAAUCCAAGACAACAGAUAAUACAUUUCCAUUAAGAGCCAGCUGCCAUGUUGUCAGUUAUUCUAUGAAGCCUACAUGGCAAGAAGCCUAAGGCAGGCUCUGGCCAACAUCUCAUGAAGAAAUGAGGCCCUUAGGCCAACAACCCAUGAAGAACUGAAUCCCAUCAACAACUACUUAAGUGAGCUUGAAGAUGGAUCUACUCUCUAGACAAGCCUUAAGAUGACUGCCCUUGUGGGAGACCCAGAGCCAGAGGAUCCAGGUCGGCCAUGCCUGGAUUCCAGAAACACAGAAAUCGUGACUAAAUGUGUAUUGUUUUAAGCCAUUAAAUUUUAGAGCAACUUGUUAUACAGCAAAAUAUAAUUAAUAUGGAGUAGCUCUGAAGAAACUACAAAAAGAGUUCAAGAACAAAGCAGGAGAUACCAGACAAGUGUGUUCAUGAUUCAGAUAUUCAGUUAGACUUAUCGCUCAACUGAACAC